rnacentral:rRNA from 1 species
GGAAGUAAAAGUCGUAACAAGGUCUCCGUUGGUGAACCAGCGGAGGGAUCAUUACCGAGUGUAAAAACUCCCAAACCAUUGUGAACUUACCACUGUUGCUUCGGCGGCCUCGCCCCGGGCGCGUUCGCGCGGCCCGGACCCAGGCGUCCGCCGGAGGCUUCAAACUCUUGUCUUUUAGUGUAUUUCUGAGUGGCAUAAGCAAAUAAAUCAAAACUUUCAGCAACGGAUCUCUUGGUUCUGGCAUCGAUGAAGAACGCAGCAAAAUGCGAUAAGUAAUGUGAAUUGCAGAAUUCAGUGAAUCAUCGAAUCUUUGAACGCACAUUGCGCCCGCCAGUAUUCUGGCGGGCAUGCCUGUCUGAGCGUCAUUUCAACCCUCAGGACCCGUUCGCGGGACCUGGCGUUGGGGAUCAGCCUGCCCCUGGCGGCGGCUGGCCCUGAAAUACAGUGGCGGUUCCCUCGCGAACUCCUCCGUGCAGUAAUUAAACCUCUCGCGGCAGGAUAGCGGUUGAACCACGCCGUUAAACCCCCCACUUCUCAAGGUUGACCUCAGAUCAGGUAGGAAUACCCGCUGAACUUAAGCAUAUCAAUAAGCGGAGGA